rnacentral:lncRNA from 1 species
CUCGCGCCCCAGGGGCCGCCCCCCGACACUCCAGUGCGACUCUGCGUGCACAGGCCAGAGGCUCAGAACCAGCGCCGGGCUGCCCUGCUCGGCCUCCUGGGCGCAGCGGCGUUUGCCCGUGCACGUGCCCUCGCAUCGCGCGCUCCGGGGCCGGGCUCCGGGCGGUUCUCGCCGCUGCAGUUCCACCGGGACUUCCGCGCUUCGGCGGCCUGUCUGACGAGCCGCCGCGCCCAGAGAGGUUCAGGUUGGAGCGACACUUCCCAGAGGGCAGCGGUCACGCCAGAUCUUUGGCUUCCAUUCCGUUUUCGCGCGCUUCUCCCACUUUGCAAGGUGAGUUGAGCUCAUUUGUGGAUGUGUUAGCACAGGAUGCGGGAAUCCUGUGAAGCGAGUCAAUUCGGAGCCCGACGUGAACCAGGUAAAGUAAACCCUGAAUAGGAAUAGAUGCAUUGAAGGCCACUAGGGAGAUUCAGAUAAUGUGACUUGGUGUUUGAUAAGGCAGUGAUGUCAUUCUGACUGCAGCCACCACUGUCGGGUUGCGAUCAAACUAUGAUGACCUAUGAGAGCACCAUGAUG